GGGAUGGUAAAUGUCAAAUUGCAUAUAUUUUUCUGAGUUAAAUUCAUCAUCACAUCUAAAUUUAAGUUUUCUAACAAUAAUUUCAAUUGAAGCUUUACCAAUUUCAUCUUCAUGUUCCCUUGCAAUUUCCUUUUACUCUGCACAUUGGCCAUUAGGAAAAAAAUUAUAGAUUCAGUUGAAGGAUUUUUUUUCCCUUUUUUUUU
rnacentral:misc_RNA from 1 species